GCGUAUCAAUAAGCGGAGGAAAAGAAACUAACAAGGAUUCCCCUAGUAACGGAGAGUGAAGCGGGAAGAGCUCAAAUUUGAAAUCUGGUAGCCUUCGGCUGCCCGAGUUGUAAUCUAGAGAAGUGUUUUCCGUGCCGGCCCAUGUACAAGUCCCUUGGAACAGGGCGUCAUAGAGGGUGAGAAUCCCGUCCUUGACAUGGACCCCCGGUGCUUUGUGAUACACUUUCAACGAGUCGAGUUGUUUGGGAAUGCAGCUCAAAAUGGGUGGUGAAUUCCAUCUAAAGCUAAAUAUUGGCGAGAGACCGAUAGCGAACAAGUACCGUGAGGGAAAGAUGAAAAGCACUUUGGAAAGAGAGUUAAACAGUACGUGAAAUUGUUGAAAGGGAAACGAUUGAAGUCAGUCAUGCUCUUUGGAUUCAGCCGUUCUGCGGUGUAUUUCCAUUGAGUGGGGUCAACAUCAGUUUUGACCGCUGGAUAAAGGCACUAGGAAGGUAGCACUCUCGGGUGAACUUAUAGCCUAGCGUCAUAUACAGUGGUUGGGACUGAGGAACGCAGCAUGCCUUUAUGGCCGGGAUUCGUCCACGUACAUGCUUAGGAUGUUGACAUAAUGGCUUUAAACGACCCGUCUUGAAACACGGACC
rnacentral:rRNA from 1 species